AUUGAACGCUGGCGGCAGGCCUAACACAUGCAAGUCGAGCGGAUGAAGGGAGCUUGCUCCUGGAUUCAGCGGCGGACGGGUGAGUAAUGCCUAUGAAUCUGCCUGGUAGUGGGGGAUAACGUCCGGAAACGGGCGCUAAUACCGCAUACGUCCUGAGGGAGCAAGUGGGGGAUCUUCGGACCUCACGCUAUCAGAUGAGCCUAGGUCGGAUUAGCUAGUUGGUGGGGUAAAGGCCUACCAAGGCGACGAUCCGUAACUGGUCUGAGAGGAUGAUCAGACAAACUGGAGCGGAGGAACGGUCCAGACUCCUACGGGAGGCAGCAGUGGGGAAUAUUGGACAAUGGGCGAGAGCCGGAUACAGCCAUGCCGCGUGUGUGAAGAAGGUCUUCGGAUUGUAAAGCACUUUAAGUUGGGAGGAAGGGCAGUAAGUUAAUACCUGGCUGUUUUGACGUUACCAACAGAAUAAGCACCGGCUAACUUCGUG
rnacentral:rRNA from 1 species